CUCUCUCUCUCUCUCUCUCUCUCUCUCUCUCUCUCUCAAUGGAUUCCCUCUCCUUCAGAUCACAUGUGCUGAUAAUCCUUAAUGCGGUCGAUCUAUCAAGGAUCCCCAUCGAGGACGGCUAGAAGGAACUGGUGUCAUCAUGAAGAGAAAGAGCAGCACAGGGCUUCACGUCCUGACAGACACUCUGGUGAUGGUGAUGGAGCUGAUGGUAAUACGAUCCUCCGCUGCUGGGAUGGAGGGAAGAGAUUCCGUUUAGGUUCAGGACGAAGUCCUUCCUGUCGCACACCGGAGCCGAGUGGCUGGAAUAUCGAGACAGGCCCACUGGAAACAAACAGGACAGAUCGUAUUACAGAAUUAUAAUUGUGGGAUGACAAAAACGUGCAUUUUAAGUAGUGUGAUUUAUAGACAAACUGCUCUGAUGGCACUUUGAAUAAAGUGUUUUAAUCCAGGGCCUUCGUUAAAAACAUUCACUAAGAUCAAUAUUAAACCAUUUAAUAACCUUUGGGUUAAAUUAAAGGUUAUGAAAAACAAUUUGGCUGAGGUUUAUCCUUUUUAUUUGGUAAUAAUUAACAGAUAAUCACUGAUAUCUUAUUUUCCAGUAAAACAUAUAAGACAAUGCUGAUGAAUCUCAAUUGUGGUUUUAAAAAAUAUAUAUAUAUAUAUCUUUGCCAGAAGGUUGAUCUAAAAAAACAAAAAGAUUACGUUGGUUUUCUUGGUGAAGGAGGUAAAAACAACAGCGAUAGGAUUUUUAGACAACCUGGCAACUCAAAAGUUGCUCCUUUUAAUAGUUUAUGACGGAUCGAUAAAAAAAAAAUAUAUUGGUAGAUCAUUAAGUCACAAUUUAACUAAUAGAGCUUUCAUAUGGGUGUUUAAUUAGAAAGUUGGAACAAAUUUGUUCCAUCAAGUCACUAAAGAACGUAAGCAAUCACACAAAAACAAAAGAUAAUUUAAGGAGCAAAUAAAUAAGAAUGACAGGCUAAUACAAUAACCCACUGUAAAAAAAAAAGAAUAUUACUAUCACUAUACUUUAACGAAGUUGCACCACAACUAAUAUUUUUCUCAAUUAAAAGUAAAUUUGUGUACGUCUGUUCAGAGCCAUUUUCUUAAUUCAUACAUUAUUUUCAGGCAUUAUUGUGAGAUUACUGUUGAAUAAUAUGCAUUUUUUUUCAUUUAGCAUUUCGCCCUCUUUAGCUUGUCCUAAAAUGCAAAUGAUGAGACUUUUCUACACCAGUACAGCAAUUUUGUGCACAUUUCACACACUAUUGAAUGAUGCAUGCAUGAUGAGGGGGAAAAGGUAACGGAAAAUGUUUAAUCAUAUUUUGAAAUAUUCUAUGAAACUUUUUGUAUAUUUUGUUUGCAGGAAUAUACAAUCAGACCAAUUAAUGCACAUUAGUUUGUGUUUGACAAGGACACAUUUUGUCUUUUACUUACUUACUAGUCCGUAAAUAUUUGUUCAUUAAAAUAUCUUUUGUCAAAAACUUUGCUCAUCUAAGGCGACUAAGAUAAAACAAGCAUUGUGAAA